rnacentral:rRNA from 1 species
CCCUUAGAUGUUCUGGGCCGCACGCGCGCUACGCUGAGCCCUUCAUCGAGUUUACAACCUUGGCCGGUAGGUCUGGGUAAUCUUCUCAAAGGGGCUCGUGCUGGGGAUAGAUUAUUGUAAUUUUUAAUCUUCAACGAGGAAUUCCUAGUAAACGCAAGUCAACAGCUUGCAUUGAUUACGUCCCUGCCCUUUGUACACACCGCCCGUCGCUACUACCGAUUGAAUGGCUUAGUGAGCCCGAGGGACUGUUGCACCUAGAGGGUUUUCUCUCCAGGAGCAGCCGGGAACUCGGUCAAACUUGAUCAUUUAGAGGAAGUAAAAGUCGUAACA